CAACCUCUGUCCUCUUCAUCAUCUCUUCCCAUGAGAAACAACUUUUUUACGAGGAUGAGAUAAAGCUUCGAAGCUCUUCCCAAAGCUUCCAGUCCAAAUUGGCACUGAAUGGUUUGAAAAUUCGGUGGGACAGGACGCAACUCACGACCUGUUCGAUCAAAUGCCUAAGAGGAAGAUGAAUCAAACUGAAGGAAUCUGGAAAUAAUGUUGUUCAUUCAAGUAUGGAUUCUAUUACAAUUCAGGGCUUUGUUCGAGAAUUACCACCACAACAGGAAUUUGGAAUUCCAAUAGAAGACAUCUGCAAUAGGCAAAAUACUAAGAACAUGAUACAAUUAUUACAAAUGUUGGACCCUAACUUCUACCAAGACUAUGAUUUGAUGUCUUCAAAUUCAAUAGCACAAUAACAUGCAUCAAUAAGUUUUGUCCAAGCACAAGAACUUGAAAAUAAUGAUGAUUCUGAUCAACAAGUUGUUGAAAAUGGAAAAAUUGAAUGAAGAUGCUUAUGAAGAAAUGGAGGACAAGACUGUGGGAUUGCGCUCAUAGAUUAAUUAGACCUUUAAGUGGAAUAAUACUUUGUGCUUAUACUUCAAUUGAUUUUGAUAUUUUUGUUCCAAUUUCUGUUAAUAAACGUUCUUUUGACUAAACUGUAGAAGAUGAGAUAUAUUAGUUGAGCUGCUCUGGAUUCUUGAUGCAUACAAGAAAUCGUCUUAAUUUCCAAUACUA